rnacentral:rRNA from 1 species
UACGUAGGGUGCAAGCGUUGUCCGGAAUUAUUGGGCGUAAAGAGCUCGUAGGUGGUUUGUCGCGUUGUUCGUGAAAACUCACAGCUUAACUGUGGGCGUGCGGGCGAUACGGGCAGACUUGAGUACUGCAGGGGAGACUGGAAUUCCUGGUGUAGCGGUGGAAUGCGCAGAUAUCAGGAGGAACACCGGUGGCGAAGGCGGGUCUCUGGGCAGUAACUGACGCUGAGGAGCGAAAGUGUGGGGAGCGAACAGG